rnacentral:rRNA from 1 species
AGGAACGCUGGCGGCGUGCUUAACACAUGCAAGUCGAACGGUGAUCUUGAGAGCUUGCUCUUGGGUGAUCAGUGGCGAACGGGUGAGUAACACGUGAGUAACCUGCCCCUGACUCUGGAAUAACUUCGGGAAACCGAAGCUAAUACCGGAUAUGACACAGAGCCGCAUGGUUUCUGUGUGGAAAGUUUUUCGGUUGGGGAUGGACUCGCGGCCUAUCAGCUUGUUGGUGAGGUAAUGGCUCACCAAGGCGACGACGGGUAGCCGGCCUGAGAGGGCGACCGGCCACACUGGGACUGAGACACGGCCCAGACUCCUACGGGAGGCAGCAGUGGGGAAUAUUGCACAAUGGGCGAAAGCCUGAUGCAGCGACGCCGCGUGAGGGAUGAAGGCCUUCGGGUUGUAAACCUCUUUCAGUAGGGAAGAAGCGCAAGUGACGGUACCUACAGAAGAAGCACCGGCUAACUACGUG